GAACAAUAAGUUGCUAAGUUGCGAAACCAAGCGAAUCUUCAAAUCUACUCUAAGUUCGGAUUGUAGGCUGCAACUCGCCUACAUGAAGGUGGAAUCGCUAGUAAUCGCUGGUCAGCUAUACAGCGGUGAAUUCGUUCCCGGGCCUUGUACACACCGCCCGUCACACCAUGGAAGCUGGUUAUACCCGAAGUCGUUACUCUAACCAUUUGGAGGAGGAUGCCUAAGGUAGAAUUGGUGACUGGGGUGAAGUCGAAACAAGGUAGCCGUACUGGAAGGUGCGGCUGGAUCACCUCC
rnacentral:rRNA from 1 species